UUCUGUUUAAUCUCCAGCAGAUUUUAGUGUUCUGAGCUAUUCUGUUCUUCUUAGUUCCGGGGAACUUUCCAUGUUUGCUUUUUUUUUAAAAAAAAAAAAAAAAAAAAAAAAAAAUCAUGUUCUUUUUCAUUUGUUUGCUUUUCUGCUGCUGGCACAGAAUCUAGAUGUAAACAAGUAGGAACAUUUCAUUUCCCCCAUCACUGUAGAGAUGCCACUGAUUGAGCUAAAAUAUGGAUUCCCUUAUGGAGGUGCAAAAGAACAAAAUUUUAUUAUUUCUUUUUCCCUGAGGUUUUGCUGUGAAUACACAGCUUUAAAACCUCCCAGUGAUCUGGACAAGGCCUGUAUCAAGUCAACCUGAGGCCAGCCCUUUCCCAACCAUUGCUGCCCAGUUUGAAACCUUUGGCAGGAGCCUCCUGGCUCUCAUGUAGAAUAAUGGAGAUUGCACGAUGGACAGGCUGACACUUAAAUCCAUAACAACAUCUUAUGAAUAGAUGUAAUGAGACAUCCCCUCAGAGAGCUGAAUGAACAGGUGAGGAAUGGCAAAUGGAUACUGUAAGAUCCAAUUAUUUCAAAUCUAGAAAGGCUGGGCUGAGCAGAAAACCAGGUGAUAACAACUGCAGCAAUCCUUACUUUCUUACUUCUUCCUUUAGCCAGGAAAUUGCAGACCUUGUGCUAGCACAGCCUGGCUAUCAGCCCUGGGAAGUAUUCCUAAAGCUAUCACUUUGGCUGCUUAUUAACUCAGGAAUCACACUGACAUGCUGGGGAAAAAGCAGUUCCUUGAAGCAUUCUGGAGUAGAUCUUGGGCGGGUCAGGAGAUCAUAAGGAACAGAAAUUACAAUAGCUAAGGUAAGAGGAAUGAAUAGCUUAAUCCUUGUUGGUGGGCUGAAGAAGAAAGAAAUGUAUCUAAAACAGAAGAUUAAGAUAGGGCAUAAAAAUAAUCCUAGUACCAUCCAUUAAAUUCAUUUGAACUGCAGGGACCUCCAUAUAAAUCUAGGUCAGGGAGAGAAGAAAUAAAAGCAUCCUUGAAGGCUCUUUCCUUAUCUGA
rnacentral:lncRNA from 1 species